rnacentral:rRNA from 1 species
GACAGAGGGUGCAAGCGUUGUUCGGAAUUAUUGGGCGUAAAGGGCGCGUAGGCGGCUGAGCAAGUCGAAUGUGAAAUCCCUGGGCUUAACCCAGGAAGUGCAUUUGAUACUGCUCAACUUGAGUCCCGGAGAGGGUGGUGGAAUUCCCAGUGUAGAGGUGAAAUUCGUAGAUAUUGGGAGGAACACCGGUGGCGAAGGCGACCACCUGGACGGAGACUGGCGCUGAGGCGCGAAAGCGUGGGGAGCAAACAGG